rnacentral:rRNA from 1 species
AGGACGACGCUGGCGGCGUGCCUAACACAUGCAAGUCGAGCGGGGAUGAUGUGAGGAAGUUUUCGGAUGGAAUCACAUUAUUUUAGCGGCGGACGGGUGAGUAACGCGUGAGCGACCAACCUUGCACAGGGGGAUAACGGACCGAAAGGUUCACUAAUACCGCAUGAGACCACGGUGUUGCAUAACACAGAGGUCAAAGGAGAGAUCCGGUGCAAGACGGGCUCGCGUCCGAUUAGGUAGUUGGAGGGGUAACGGCCCACCAAGCCUAUGAUCGGUAGCCGACCUGAGAGGGUGAUCGGCCACAUUGGAACUGAGAUACGGUCCAAACUCCUACGGGAGGCAGCAGUGGGGAAUAUUGGGCAAUGGGGGGAACCCUGACCCAGCAACGCCGCGUGAAGGAAGAAGGUUUUCGGAUUGUAAACUUCUGUCCUUGGUGAAGAGAAGAAGACGGUAGCCAAGGAGGAAGCCCCGGCUAACUACGUGCCAGCCGCCGC